AAAAAUCUGCUUUAAAAAUAUUUUAAAGAGAUUAGUAUUAUUGCAGUUGGCGCUUAAAACGAAAAUUGCCACCAAAAUAAUAUAUAACGGUUAAACUUCAAGGAUAUUAUGACAGUAAUGACUGUGUGCAACUUACAUUGUAAAAUCUGAAGCUUAAGGAUGAGAAUAAUCGGAUUGUUUCUGACAUCUCCAAAGCACUUCAUAUCCUAUCAGACAUUUAGCACAAGACAUUUCCAAACACUAGUCUCAUCAACAUGGUUAAGAAACCAACUGGCAGCAUCGAGAGAACUCAGCUCCCAACUGAGAGUGCUGGAUGCAUCAUGGCAGUCAAAUGGUCAAGGAUAUGAACAGCUAUACAAACAAGCACACAUCCCUCAUGCUUUGUAUUUUGACCUGUACAAAUGCUGCACUGGCACCAAAGAAAUCCCCCUCAACCUCCCAGAACCCGAGUGCUGGACGAGGUACAUUCAGUCACUGGGCGUUUCCUCAGACACCCAGGUGGUGGUAUACGAUGGUCAAAACAUGAGGCUCGCUCUCAGAACCUGGUGGCUUUUCAGGCUGUUUGGUCAUGAGAAUGUCUCCGUACUAGAUGGAGGUUUGAUUAAGUGGGCAGAAGAUGGUUACGAGAUAACUGUGGAGGAGCCAACGGUUAAGAAACCAGGCAAUUUCCAAUGCAAGCUGAAUAAAUCCCUUAUGCGUACAUUUGAGGACAUGCAGAAGAAUGCAAAGAAUGGUGCUGAGCAGGUGGUGGAUGUUCGGGACAGCAAAUCUUUUGAGGGAGUGGUGGGGGACUCAGCAGGGGAGAAUACUCCAGAAUCCAGGAAUGGGCAUAUACCAGGGUCACUUAACAUACCCUAUAAAUUGUUCUUCAAUGAAAACAUGACGUUCAAGUCAAAAGAGGAAAUAGAAGAUUUGUUUGAGGAUGCUGGAGUGGACAUGAAUAAGCCGAUAGUGUCCAGUUGUUUCCUGGGACUUACUGGAGUAGCCAUCAAUCUUACCUCCCACAUGAUGGGCAAACCAGGACACAGCCCUCUACUAUGGUUCUUGGAAUGAAUGGAGACUUCGAGCAGACCCUGAAGAGUGUGAAACUGGCCCCCCUCGUCUAAAGGCGUGACCGCCAGGUUCAGAUGCCAUGGACAGCAAGAUUGUGUGAUUGAAAUGUUAAUCCCCUACCCGCAAUAACAAAAGUAAUAUUCUACCCUGUCCUGUAUUAUUGCUCGUUAGUAAUUAUUUGGAUGGAAUAGCUAGAGCUUUGUUCAUUAUUUAUCCAUGAGGAGAUCUGUGAACUUGAUUUGAUUGAAAAUUGAAUCCAGUACUGGGAUGUGAUUAUGAUGACGAUUGAAAUGGUGCCAUUUGAAAUGAUUCUCCUCACAUUCAUGGAGAUUUGUUGAUUUAGAUUAUUAAUCUGUUUGAAUUAUGUAUAUUGCAGUUUUGUUGUAUCAUAAAAAAUAAACAUAUUUUAAUUGCU
rnacentral:misc_RNA from 1 species